GCGUUGGCUUGUUCAGUAGCACACAUACUAAAAUUGGAAUGAUACAGAGAAGAUUAGCGUGGCCCCUGCACAAGGAGGACAUGCAAAUUCGUGAAAUGUUCCAUAUUAAA
ensembl:snRNA U6 U6 spliceosomal RNA